rnacentral:lncRNA from 1 species
AGAUUGAUUAUGGACUUUUAUUCAAGUUUGGUUCACUAGAGCCACCAAGUGAACCAAAAGGUCAAACCCUAGGGUGCAAGAAUAAACAUUUAAAUAUAACUAUUACAUUUAAAUCCCGACUCCAUUACAAACGGGUCUUCAAACUCUCCUUGCUCCUUGAUCUCUGGUUCUUCGAAAAAAAUUCUAACUAAUCCUAUUACAUUAAACUAUUUAAUUUAAAUAGAAACCUUAAUCAGCAGUCAAGGGGAAGUACAUAGGAGAGAGAGAGAAUUUACAUCAAGAAGAAAAUCAAAAAAGAC